UCCACCGCGCCCAAAUUCAAAUGUGCGCCUCUGGUGGCGGGUUGUGGAACUACAAUAGGGAAUGCCAAAGUGUUGUGCGCAUGCUCGGGCCAGCUGCUGGACCACCGGCCGGGUUCCCGCCAAAGCCUCCAACCCAAAACGCCAUUCAUUGAAAAUACAAAUUAUAAAUCUUCAACACAUCACACAGUCCUCGAAAAGCGUUUUCGACGGUGCCGCGCCGCUCAGCCAACGAGUGCCCGCCGUUUGAAUGGCGGCGCCGACCGCGGGCCUCGUUUAAGCUGAAUAAAGUGUUUUAAUGCAUCAAAUAAAGCGGUGCGAGUUGAAACAAGGAAGACUAAGGAUGGACACGCCUUCCGCCGUAUCGCGCGACGUCACCAAAUGGUUAAAACGCGAAAAAAACGUGAAUAUUGACACCUGUCAGUGCCGUCGCCGAUUUGAAAUUGUGCUGCGCUCUGAUUGGUCGAGGCGGGGGCGGGUCGGUUGAGUAGGUCCGGGCCAAGUGCCAUCUCGUCAGAUGGUCUGUAGAGGUAGAGGUAGAGGCAGAGUGACGUGAUUUGUUUGAGAGUUCUGUGUGUGAAUCAAGAUGUAGUCCACUGAUGAAGAUUGUCUGCAAUUGUUUGCGAGCGAUUCCUCUGAAGAGGAACAAGUGCGUGUCAACUUGCGCUUGAUGGGCGAGCGCCCUCCAGGGGCUGCCGCCGUCCCGAGCCCGCCCCAAGAUUGGGCCGCAGGGCCCUCGUCACGCCCCACAAUGGCGGAGGAGGAGAAUGCCAAGGAGGCCGGCAGGGUAUUUGCAAGCAGGAUCGCGAUAGUCCACCCCACGCCCCGCAUCCCUGUUCACGAGCGUCUUGGGGAACGCGACGAGGAGGACGAGCCCACCCCGGCGGCGCGAGGCCGCGGGCGUGGCCGUGGCAUCUGGCGCGGGCGCCGUUUCAUU